GCGGAUUUUAACACCCUUGGAGUCAUCUACGAACGAGGACUCAUUGGAACAUAUCAAAAUUGGUGUGAGGCAAUGUCAACUUAUCCUCGAACAUAUGACUUCAUUCAUGGCGAUUCGGUCUUCAGUAUGUACAAGGACAGAUGUGAAAUGGAGGAUAUUCUGCUGGAAAUGGACAGGAUUCUUCGGCCACAGGGCAGCGUGAU
rnacentral:misc_RNA from 1 species